rfam:Lupinus angustifolius cultivar Tanjil chromosome LG11, whole genome shotgun sequence.
AAGUCGUGGUUUGGACAUUUCCUUAGCCUGGAUUUGAAUCUAUCCCAUGAUUCACAGAGAGUUUCACUAGUUGGUUGUAGAAAUUUUGAGAUUGUAGUCUCAAAUUC